UCUCUGUUCCCUUCUCUCACCUUUACUAGAUAGCUCAAAUGUCUGUUUGUCUUGGUGUUUUGAGUGCCUGGAACUACCUGGCCCUUGAGAGUGGCAUUCAAGAAGUAAAGACAGACUGAACUACAGCUGAAUAGAAAUCUUCAAGAAAGAGAUGGAGAGGAACAUUAUCACCAACUAUCCAUGACACAAACCUGAGAGACUACUAUGAUGCCUACUUUCACUUCUCCAUCCAUUACAGUAACCACACUCCCCUUAUCUUCGAUGAUUAACUACCAUCACUUGGCUCAUGUCACCUGGGGAUCCCAUUAUCUCCAUUGCCUUUAGGGAUCCCUGCUCAACAGCAGCAGUUUCCGCUGGAAUUUCUGACCUACAGAAAAGAGUAACUGAAGAACUCUUCGAGGAUACUGGGUCUCCCCUCAUAAAUUUAUUUCGCACAGUUUUAGUGAAAGAUGUGAUAUCCUGGAGCAGGUGAGCAGACCUUAUGUGAUAAAUACAUUCUAAAAGCUUAAUCUCCCUAAAACUUUGUUCACUUUACUCUACAGUAAACCAAGGCAAUCCUGACUCUGCAACUUUAUUUACUGUAGCAGAUCACCUUUGGGUCCAUGUUUCAGCAAACCAACUAAACAACCUUUGGAGCCCUUUCUCACCUCUUGAGCUGAAUCAUUGGAUCCAGGAUCUCUGUUUACUGAGCCCAUAUCAAUAAAAUAAGCCUG
rnacentral:lncRNA from 1 species